rnacentral:lncRNA from 1 species
GCCACUGCCCAGGUGGCUAAAGGGUUCACUAAGUGAGAAAUGAUGGUGAGAGAUUAAGAAACUUAAAGAAUAAGACAAAGAAGACAAAUUCACAGUUAAAUUUACAAAGCUGAGCCCAGGUGGAAACGCCUGGUCCUGAUGAGACAAAAAGCUUGGCCCUUGUCCUCAGCACCUUUAUUUAUAGUGUAGAUAAGGAAACCGGAAGAGGAGGCCUGAUUGGAGCAGGGAGAGUGGCUCUGGCCUGCAGGAGACAGUGCUUGAUGUUUCUCUGGCUUCUGUGGCCACGCCCUCUUCCCCCCAUGCCCUCCGAGGGAGGAGGCCAGUCCGUAGUGAUCUACAGCACAUCGCUCCCAGCACGAGACAUUUCUUGUAAAGGAACUGCAGAGUCACCCUGGAGUGCGUGUUCUGCGCGUGCGUCUUGGGUCUCCAUGGCUGGCAGGCGCUUACCAGAUUUGCCCCGCUCGGAUCUCCUGCCUCACCUGGACACUCCUGGCCGCGGUGUCUACACUUCUGUCCUCCCAGGCUCGCCUUGCCUUCCCAAGGUUUCCGUGCAGGCUCGCAGCCGCUCCGGGGGGCAGGGAAGGGCGUUGAGUGGGAGUGGAAGCCCUAGUCUGCACCCUGGGGCCUCCCUCACCUGUCUGGAGAAGAGACCGAGGCUGUCAGCAGCCACCGGCUCCGCCUGCCCCAAGCAGCGGGGUGGAAACGGGACUGAGUACCGGCUUUGCCUCCAGAGCCUCCAUCUGACAGGGUUGCUCUGGGCAGAGGGCGGCGGGGGGGGGGGGGCUCUCAUGCUGACGUCCCUCACCUUACAGGGAGCAGGAGCUCCAGAAACGCCUGCCCCCAGCCACCUUCUGAAGCUGCUGGGACGGGGCAGGCAGGCGAGAAGCUCAGCCCAGGCGCAGAAAGGACUGGAAACCAGCAGCUCAGGGCUGGUGACUCACGCUCCUCCAGCCCUGCCCCACCCUCUGACGCCCCUUGCCUCAGCCUCCACACGCGCAUCCGUCACUUAGCCAGCAGCCUUUCCUUCUGCCUGGCACUGUGCUGGCAUUUGUUAAUUAUUUCAGUUUAUUCUCUGAAAAGUACCUCCCAAAGCCUACCUGCAAAUAUUAAAAUAAAAUAAAAUGAGCAGCGGUUUAGAACUGAGUUUGUUUGUUGAGGUUACGGUUUUAAAAAGUGAAGCCUCUCCCUGGGUCUCCCCAGUGCUUCCCUGGGGUGACAACUGCUAACAUUUUGAUUCUCUCAGGCUUUUUUCUAUGGCUCCCAGGUCUUAAUUCUUGCUCUGCCACUUACUAGCUGUGUGAUUGCUACUUAGCACCUCACCGAUUUUGUUUUCCUGUUCAUAGAGAUAAUACUGAUUUGAGAGUAAUUAGGAGAAUCAAAUCUGUUAGUGUAUACAAAAUCCCUAAAACAGUCCCUCCCUCAGCAUAAAGGAUUAAACAUAAUAAGUGUGAAUAAACUUUGUUGAAACAGAUGUGCAGUGUAGGCUUGGUGGUUCACGCCUGUAAUCCCAGCCCUCAGGAGGCUGAGUCAGGGGGUGGAGUUAGAGGCCAACCUGGGCUGCACAGUGCGACCUUGACUCCUAAAAUCCAAAUAAAUGGUACAUGGAAUAUAUGUGGGCAGGGGUGUUCUAGUCGUUUUCUCAUCACUGGAACAAAAUAUCCAACACAAGAAC